rnacentral:rRNA from 1 species
GGAGUCUAACAUGUGCGCGAGUCGUUGGGUCGGAGACGCUCCGCUAAACCCAUAGGCGCAAUGAAAGUAAAGGCCACCUUCGCGGGGCCGAGGGAGGAAGGAGCGAGUCACUUCGCGGUGACGGUUCCCGCACUCCCGGGGCGUCUGAUUCCUCAUCGCGAGGGGAGGCGCACCCAGAGCACACACGUUGGGACCCGAAAGAUGGUGAACUAUGCCUGGCCAGGACGAAGUCAGGGGAAACCCUGAUGGAGGUCCGUAGCGAUUCUGACGUGCAAAUCGAUCGUCGGAGCUGGGUAUAGGGGCGAAAGACUAAUCGAACCAUCUAGUAGCUGGUUCCCUCCGAAGUUUCCCUCAGGAUAGCUGGCGCUCGGAGGAGAGUCUCAUCCGGUAAAGCGAAUGAUUAGAGGCCUUGGGGCCGAAACGACCUCAACCUAUUCUCAAACUUUAAAUGGGUGAGAACUCCGGCUUGCUCGAUAUUCAAUGAAGCCGGAGAUGGGGCCUCGAGCCCCGUGGAUCGGAGUGCCUAGUGGGCCACUUUUG